CCGUGAUAAAAAUCGAUAAUUUAAAAAACGUUGCAACUGCUCUCAAGUAGUAUUUGUCUAAAAAAAGUUAACGCGUCAAUUUGUCCGAUCAUAUUUUAUUUUUAAACUUUAUUCAGAAAAUAAUCGCCUUUGCACACGACAACAGAGUUUUUAGCGCUGCCAUACGGUGGAUGGUGGAGGAUUCGUUAAUUAUUCGGGAAUUAUCGUUCACGAUCGGAAGUUAUACUUCUCCACGUGGUUUUUAUGAACUCGUAUCUAGUAAUUUCACCUAAUCUACAGAAGUAGCCACAAGUCGCUCAACGUCUACUGUCUUGUAUGGAAUGCGCGUUAUGGCGCAGUUUCUCCCUCCUCGUCGUUUCCGUUACGUCAUAUUGCAACUUUGGUCUCGUUAUCCUGUUUACGUACAACAACAGCAAGGUUUAUAAAAAAACAACAUAUUUAACAUAAAACACAACAGUUUUAUAAAAAUUGUGUAGCAAAUUUGUUUCGCGGCUUUUGGNAUUUUUUUGUCUUUUGUUUUUAUUUGGGGAAUUUCAAUGUUAUUCAUUUUGAUGUACGUUAGAGGACUACAAAUAUUUCGGAACUGUAUUUUGUCGAAAAGAUUUUUUUCGGAAAAAUAUUUAGUCGGAUAAUAUUUUAUCGGAAACUUAUUUUGUCGGAAAAUAAUUUUUACCUAACGACGAUAACAUGCAAACACGAAAUGCUUAUGAUGAAAUUACAUU